rnacentral:rRNA from 1 species
AACGAACGCUGGCGGCGUGCCUAACACAUGCAAGUCGAACGAGAAAGGGGCUUCGGCUCCGAGUAAAGUGGCGCACGGGUGAGUAACACGUAGGUAACCUGCCUCUAAGAUUGGGAUAACCUGUCGAAAGACGAGCUAAUACCGAAUAAGACCACAGCUUCCUCAGAAGCAGGGGUCAAAGGUAGCCUCUACUUGUAAGCUAUCACUUAGAGAUGGGCCUGCGUACCAUUAGCAGUUGGUGGGGUAACGGCCUACCAAGGCGAAGAUGGUUAGCUGGUCUGAGAGGAUGAUCAGCCACACUGGAACUGAGACACGGUCCAGACUCCUACGGGAGGCAGCAGUGGGGAAUAUUGCGCAAUGGGCGAAAGCCUGACGCAGCAACGCCGCGUGAGUGAUGAAGGCUUUCGGGUCGU